AACGGCCGCGGUACCCUAACCGUGCGAAGGUAGCGCAAUCACUUGUUCUUUAAAUGAGGACUAGUAUGAAUGGCAUCACGAGGGUUAUACUGUCUCCCCCUUUUAAUCAGUGAAACUGAUCUUCCCGUGAAGAAGCGGGAAUAUAUCUAUAAGACGAGAAGACCCCAUGGAGCUUAAAACUCAGUAUCAGCUGCCCUCUAAUAUAUCCUCUUAAUUAGGCAGACUUGACUACUAGUUUUCGGUUGGGGUGACCGCGGAGCAAAACAAAACCUCCACGAUGAAAGGAACUAACUUCCUAAUCAAAGAACCACAUUUCUAUGAAUCAACAAAUUGACAUUUAUUGAUCCAAUUUUUUUGAUCAACGAACCAAGUUACCCUGGGGAUAACAGCGCAAUCCAUUUCAAGAGCCCCUAUCGACAAAUGGGUUUACGACCUCGAUGUUGGAUCAGGGUAUCCCAGUGGUGCAGCCGCUACUAAAGGUUCGUUUGUUCAACGAUUAAAACCCU
rnacentral:rRNA from 1 species